rnacentral:snRNA from 1 species
AGCUUUGCACAGUGGCAGUAUCGUAGCCAAUGAGGUUUAUCCGAGGUACGAUUAUUGCUAAUUGAAAGCUUUCUCAGUCUUGGUGUAACUGGCAUUUGGGACUGGAAGAUUCUUUGAGAGGGGACUGUCCU